CCCAGCCAGGCUGAGGGGAAACACAGGGAUCGACCGCUUCCGUGAGCCAGGCCCGCGCGUGCAGAGUCGCGAGCUAGGUCUCCUCUUCCGGUCGUCUCAACUCGCAUUUCCCCCGUUUCCCCUGCCGCUAUCUUCUUUGGUGCCACGCCGCAUCUCCUCGUCGGUGCCGAGGCAAAGCUCUCCUUCUCCCUUUCCCCUCUCUUUCUUCCCGAGCUCUGGCCCCUCCCUCCCGUUCCCAGCUAUUGGCGACUUGCUCGCCGUCGCUCGCGGCCGCCCGCCCGAUCUGACCGUGAUAGCAAGCAGGGGACUCCGGCGGCACGUACACCACCUGCGCGCGCACCGGCCGGGCGUUCGCGGCCGCCCGCACGAUCCCGCGUGUGAGCAAGCACGGACCCGCGUGUUGUGCCCUUGUUGACGGGGAACUGGGGAAGGCCUGGCCGUGGUAGAUUUGCCGGACCUUGAGCUUGAGCUGCUGUACCAGUGUGCGCAGUGUUAUGCUGCUAAUCCCCGACUCCUUGCCAAGCCUACCUUCCAAAUAUCUAACAUGACAGCCUACAGUUCAGAGCCAAGUUCUUAGUUCAGGUUGUCUACAAUUUAUCAUCUAUUGCUUGGUUCGGCCGCUGGCCUUGUAGAGGUCCGAUCUGAUUGUGAGAGCUGCCUGUGGAUUUGAGAUGAUUUUGCAUAUUUCUCUGUUAAGAAUAAUUUGUGCAUACUUUUCUUUUGAUUUGAUCUGGAGGAAGAAGAACAAGAAAGAGAGAAGCUAGUUUUGUUUUGUUUUGUAUUUGUGUUGUGGGGAUCAAGAGAUCAGCAAUACACGGUAAAAAAGGUGCCUUGGGAGGGCUGGCUGUUCUAUGCAUGUAUGUUAAAUAUAGGACCUCAUGAAUGCUGAAACUGGAAUACACAUAUUUGGUUUCAUCCCUGUUUAGCUGACACUUUGAUUCACAUGAUCUUCAUACGAAGUUUGCAAGAUUCGGAAUA